GCGCCCCCAACGUGGGACCCGAGAACGGGGGACUUAGUGUGGGACACUGUUCGUGGGCCCAAAGUAGAAAAAGGAAAAGAAAAUAGAGGACCAAUGUGGGAGCCUGCCACGCCGCUGAACCUCGGUAAGUGAACAGCGAUUAUGGGACAAGAAAUUAGCCAGCAUGAGAUUUUUGUUGAAAAUUUAGUAAAACUUUUAAAGACACAAGGAGUUAAGGUGAAUAUUGAACAAUUAUGUCAAUACUUCAAUUUUAUAAAAGAGGUUUGCCCUU
rfam:Cavia porcellus supercont2_24 genomic scaffold, whole genome shotgun sequence.